CAUAACAUUACGACUUUCUUCUU
rnacentral:snRNA from 1 species